UACGUAGGGCGCAAGCGUUGUCCGGAAUUAUUGGGCGUAAAGAGCUCGUAGGCGGUUUGUCGCGUCUGCUGUGAAAACUCGAGGCUCAACCCCGGGCCUGCAGCCGAUACGGGCAGCUAGAAUUCGGUAGGGGAGACUGGAAUUCCUGGUGUAGCGGUGAAAUGCGCAGAUAUCAGGAGGAACACCGGUGGCGAAGGCGGGUCUCUGGGCCGAAAUUGACGCUGAGGAGCGAAAGCGUGGGGAGCAAACAGG
rnacentral:rRNA from 1 species